rnacentral:rRNA from 1 species
AGCGAACGCUGGCGGCAGGCCUAACACAUGCGAGUCGAACGAACUCUUCGGAGUUAGUGGCGGACGGGUGAGUAACACGUGGGAACGUGCCUUUAGGUUCGGAAUAACUCAGGGAAACUUGUGCUAAUACCGAAUGUGCCCUUCGGGGGAAAGAUUUAUCGCCUUUAGAGCGGCCCGCGUCUGAUUAGCUAGUUGGUGAGGUAAAGGCUCACCAAGGCGACGAUCAGUAGCUGGUCUGAGAGGAUGAUCAGCCACAUUGGGACUGAGACACGGCCCAAACUCCUACGGGAGGCAGCAGUGGGGAAUCUUGCGCAAUGGGCGAAAGCCUGACGCAGCCAUGCCGCGUGAAUGAUGAAGGUCUUAGGAUUGUAAAAUUCUUUCUACCGGGGACGAUAAUGACGGUACCCGGAGAAGAAGCCCCGGCUAACUUCGUGCCAGCAGCCGCGGUAAU